rnacentral:rRNA from 1 species
AUUGAACGCUGGCGGCAUGCCUUACACAUGCAAGUCGAACGGUAACGGGCCUUCGGGUGCCGACGAGAGGCGAACGGGUGAGUAAUGUAUCGGAACGUACCUUUCAGUGGGGGAUAACGUAGCGAAAGUUACGCUAAUACCGCAUAUUCUGUGUGCAGGAAAGCAGGGGAUCGCAAGACCUUGCGCUGAUUGAGCGGCCGAUAUCAGAUUAGCUGGUUGGUGAAGUAAAGGCUCACCAAGGCGACGAUCUGUAGCGGGUCUGAGAGGAUGAUCAGCAACACUGGAACUGGGAAAGGGUCCAGACUCCUACGGGAGGCAGCGGUGGGGAAUUUUGGAGAAUGGGGGCAACCCUGAUACAGCCAUGCCGCGUGAGUGAAGAAGGCCUUCGGGUUGUAAAGCUCUUUCGGCCGGGAAGAAAUCGUAUCAGCUAAUACCUGGUGCGGAUGACGGUACCGGCAUAAGAAGCACCGGCUAACUACGUGCCAGCCGCCGCGGUAAAAC